UACGUAGGGUGCGAGCGUUAAUCGGAAUUACUGGGCGUAAAGCGUGCGCAGGCGGUUUUGUAAGCCAGAUGUGAAAUCCCCGGGCUUAACCUGGGAAUGGCAUUUGGGACUGCAAGGCUCGAGUGCGGCAGAGGAGACUGGAAUUCCUGGUGUAGCAGUGAAAUGCGUAGAUAUCAGGAGGAACACCGAUGGCGAAGGCAGCCCCCUGGGCUAGCACUGACGCUCAGGCACGAAAGCGUGGGGAGCAAACAGG
rnacentral:rRNA from 1 species